GAUGGAUCAUUAAAUUAGUUAUAGUUUCUUUGAUGGUACCCUACUAUUCGGAUAACCGUAGUAAUGAGUACAAUCUAAAUCCCUUAACGAGGAUCCAUUGGAGGGAAAGUUUGGUGCCAUCAUCCACGGUAAUUCUAGCUCCAAUAUUGUAUAUUUAAGUUGUUGUAGUUAAAAAGAUCAUAGUUGGAUCUUGGGUCAUAAAGGUCGGUCCGCCUACUUGGUGUGCACCUGCCCUUCCGUCCCUUUUGUCGACGGCGUGCUCCUGGCCUUAAUUGGCUAGGUUGCGGUUCCAGCGUUGUUACUUUGAAAAACUUAGAGUGCUCAAAGAAAGCUUAUGCUCUAAAUACGUUAACAUGGAAUAACGUGAUAGGAGUCUGGUCCUAUUGUGUUGGCCUUCGGGAUCGGAGUAAUGAUUAAUAUGGACUAUCGAGGGCAUUCAUAUUUCAUUGUCAGAGGUGAAAUUCUUGGAUUUAUGAAAGACGAACCACUGUGAAAGCAUUUUCCAAGGAUGUUUUCAUUAAUCAAGAAUGAAAUUUGGGGGCUCGAAGAUGAUCAGAUAUCGUCCUAGUCUCAUCCAUAAACGAUGUCGACCAGGGAUCAACGGAUGUUUCUCUAAGGACUCUGAUAGCACCUUCUAAGAAAUCAAAGUGUUUGGGUUCUGAGGGGAGUAUGGUCGCAAGGCUGAAACUACAAGGCCAUAUUAAAAAAUCUCUUGGUCGCCCAACCUCAGCCAGGUCGUAUUAAAA
rnacentral:ncRNA from 1 species